CUUGGCACUGAAAGCCGACGAAGGACGUGGUAUACUGCGAUAAGUUACGGGGAGCUGUAUGCAAGUUUUGAUCCGUAAAUUUCCGAAUGGGGAAACCCACCACUUUAUGUGGUACUUUAAACUGAAUUCAUAGGUUUAAAGAGACAACCUGGAGAACUGAAACAUCUAAGUAACCAGAGGAAAAGAAAUCAAUUGAGAUUCCGUUAGUAGUGGCGAGCGAAAACGGAUCAGGCCUGUAGUUUAUUUGAGAAAAUUUGAAUAGUAUGGAAAUGCUAACCAAAGAGGGUGAUAGUCCCGUAGAAGUAAUGCUUAAAUAAACUCUUGAGUAAAGCGGGACACGUGAAAUCUUGCUCGAAUAUAGGGGGACCACCCUCUAAGCCUAAAUACUCUUUAGUGACCGAUAGUGAACAAGUACCGUGAGGGAAAGGUGAAAAGAACCCCUAUUAGGGGAGUGAAAUAGAACCUGAAACCGCAUGCCUACAAUCAGUCGAAGCUCUUUUUAGAGUGACGGCGUACCUUUUGUAUAAUGGGUCAGUGACUUAAUUUAUUAAGCAAGCUUAAGCCAUCUAGGUGUAGGCGCAGCGAAAGCAAGUCUUAAUAGGGCGUUUAGUUUAAUGAAUUAGACCCGAAAACGAAUGAGCUUACCAUGAGCAGGUUGAAUGCAAGGUAACACUUGCUGGAGGACCGAACCAGUUGACGUUGAAAAGUCUUUGGAUGACUUGUGGUAAGGGGUGAAAGGCCAACCAAAUUCGUAGAUAGCUGGUUUUCCGCGAAAACUAUUUAGGUAGUGCGAUGAGUAAAUAUGCGUUUAGAGGUAGAGCACUAAAUGGGCUAGGGGGAAGAGAUUCUUACCAAACCUAAUAAAACUCCGAAUGCUAAACGUAGUUCCUCAUCAGACAGACUGUGGGUGCUAAGGUCCAUGGUCGAGAGGGAAAGAGCCCAGACCACCAGAUAAGGUCCCAAAAUUAUGAUUAAGUGUGAAAGGAUGUGGAAAUUCCUUAACAGCCGGGAGGUUGGCUUAGAAGCAGCCAUCCUUUAAAGAUAGCGUAACAGCUCACCGGUCUAAUAGAGUUUCUGCGCCGAAGAUGUAACGGGGCUAAAAUCAUAUACCGAAUCUGUGGGUUUAUAAAAUUUUCGAAUUUUAUAAGCGGUAGCGGAACGUUCUGUAAGCCUGUAAAGGAAUACCCGUGAGGGAUUCUGGAGGUAUCAGAAGUGCGAAUGCUGACAUAAGUAACGAUAAAUAAAGUGAAAAACUUUAUCGCCGAAAAUCCAAGGGUUUCUGCGCAAGGUUAAUCCGCGCAGAGUUAGUCGGCCCCUAAGGCGAGGGCGAAAGCCGUAGUCGAUGGAAAUAAGGUUAAUAUUCCUUAACCAGAUGGUAGUGACGGAUUUUGUAAGUUGUGAGUUCUUAAUGGAUUGAACUUGCUGCGAAAAAGUCCCAGGAAAUAGCUCCAUCAUUAGACCGUACCCUAAACCGACACAGGUGGAUUAAUAGAGUAUAUUUAGGCGCUUGAGAGAAUGAUGUUGAAGGAACUCGGCAAAAUGCUUCUGUAACUUCGGAAUAAAGAAGACCUUUUUUAGGGCAACCAUUUAAAGGUGGCACAAGCCAGGGAGAAGCGACUGUUUAUCAAAAACACAGGGCUCUGCUAACACGUAAGUGGAUGUAUAGGGUCUGACGCCUGCCCGGUGCUGGAAGGUUAAUGCGAUGGGUGCAAGCUCAUUUCUGAAGCCCCAGUAAACGGCGGCCGUAACUAUAACGGUCCUAAGGUAGCGAAAUUCCUUGUCGGGUAAGUUC
rnacentral:rRNA from 1 species